rnacentral:lncRNA from 1 species
AAUUAAAACUUCAAGGAGUAAUAGUUUACAUCAAUUCAACAGAAGGAAAAUAAUUAUGAUAAAUCCUAGAAAUAAUAUUCAAUGAGCACUUGCAUGAUGGCUUUGCUAUUUCCAUCUGGUGAUCUUGUAUUUUUAGGUGUUGGGAUGCUAUUUCUUAUAUCCAGUAUCUACAACAUAAAUUGAAACACCAAGCAAUAAGUAACUCCAAGGAUUAAAGUAGAAAACCAAUAUAAUAAAUACAUUAAAUACAAUGCACUUACAUUUUUACAAUAGCUGAAAUUUCCUUCGCUGCAACUGAAAAUAAGACUAUAUUUGCUCACAAAACACCCUUACUCAUAAAAGUAGAGAUUAUGUUCAAUAUACCGCAGAACAUUCAGAAUGCAUUUGGUUGAUGAAAAAAGACAAAACACUUCAGACUUCAGGUAACUCAAGGAUCACGGUAUGAUCCAAUAUAAUAUAUAUUGGUUUAAAUAAUAGAUCUUCAUUUUCACAAUAGCUGAAAUUCAAUCAGUAUAUAACACUUGUGAGCAUAAUCUGAGUUUCGAUACCUCGAAUAGAAGGAAGAAUGCUUUCAAUUUAGAAUGCUUUCAGUUUCAAUACCUGAAAUUGCAGUAUGCACUGAGUUUCACCUUAACUGAACGUGGGAGAGUGAGGUUGGGAAUAAACUGGCUAUUAAGUGGGAAAUACUUGUGAUAGAAGAAUUAAUCUAAUUAGCCGCUCACUCAACUUCUUAAAUUAUAAAUAACCGGUAGAUAUAUAAUAUAUGUAUACUCUGUGUAUAAACAUGUAUAAAUAGUGGAUAGCUAAUAGAGAUAGAUGACUAAUCACUAUUGUAUCAUUCAAAAUGAUACUACAAUUAAUUCAGGAAGACUAAUUAUUCUUCGACUAGCAGUUCCAUAGCUCGCAUAAGAAUUUAUAGCAGUAUAUGACAAUAAAACACCACUACACACAGCUCUUGAUUUAAUCAGUCAACUACGCCUCAAUCCUAAACUAGUUAGGGCCACUAUGCCAUCCUUGUAUGCAUUCCACAAAUAUAACCUUAAACACCCAAAACUAAGGAUCCUCGCAUCCCUAUCCUAACUGACCAAAAGAACUUCUAGCAAAUUUCAAUCAUAGAAAAGUCAGUUCCUUACCACACUGGAUACACAAAAUCUCUGGAAAAAUAAAGCUAAGAACAGAUCUAACAACUAAAGUGACGGAACAUUGCAUAACCACAAAGAAACCGUAGAUGCACACAGAUACCUACACGCACAUAAGCAAAAAGGAUAGGAAAUAGAAAGACCUGGCUGAAAGUUUUUUGGAAUUGGGAGUUGCCAUCAACAAAGGCGAGAUUAGCGAACUCCUUCGCGAGCUUCAUCGGAGACCUAGCAAGAAGAGGAGACGGAAAGGAGAGGAGAGGGAGUCGCCGACUACGAUGAUCUAGUGAAUGCCGCCGAUGAUUUAUGCCAUAUUUGGUGGGAGGGAGAGGGAGAGAGACAAAAUGCAGAGAUUAGGGUUUGCUGGUGCCGGAG